GCCCAGUCUGUAAAAGGGAGAUUCAAGUUGGGCGCCUUUGAGGAGCGACUCUCCAUUCUUUCUCUUGGUUUUGGCAGAGGGCUGAUGGGAGGGCUUUCCGGAUGGGGGUGGGGGUGGGGAAGAGCACCAACCAGACUUCGCCUGGAAAAGGAGCGAAGUCUCAUGUGACCUCGAGGGGUUCAACCCCACUCCCAGGGGACUAGGCCAGUUUGACUCUGAACACAUUACUUUUUCCAACAAAAGAACAACAACAAAAAGAACACCUGUUCCCACCCCCCACCGUCAUUGUGAUGGCAAGAACGACGUGGAACGCUAGGACUGAGCAUGGAAAGUGAGCCAAUUUAAAGCCAAGGUCCCAAACCCUUGAUGAACUUGGAGAAGCCUCUGCCUGACGGCUGCCACCCUUAGGAUGUAAACACGUCAGCCAGGGCUUGGAAUUUACGACUUGGGUAGUCAAGUCCAUGUUCUAGGUGGUUUCAGCUCCGUUUUUAUUUACCUAGGACAGUAGCCCUUCCCCCUCUGAAGCCCUCACCAGUAACCACCACAAUGAAAAAACAUUUCACAGAUGAAUUGGAAAGCCACUAUUAUUAUGUCAUAUAAUCAAGGCAAGACUCUGAAACUCAUCUGAAAAAGAUGAAGUUUCCCAACAGCUUUCUGGAGGAUAAAAGCCAGCAAGGCAACUCUUGGGUUAUUCUGGUGAUUGCAUCAUAGGAGGAAAUCUGUAUAUUCAUCCCAGAUUUCUGAAAGAGCUAUGAAGUUCCAGCUGAGAACUCACCUCCUUUCAAGGCAGGUGCCGGGUGUGACAGCAGGGUUAUGACCCUCCCUCUCUUCAAAACAGGCUCACAGUGUCAAUAGACAGCCCAGCAAGCCCAGCGUCAUGACUUCACUGGGGGAUGAAGCAGAAGUGGGCAUGAGGCAGAGCCAGCCUUGAACAGGCUCCGAGCUCUAACAUGAAAUAGCCAAGGAAACACCGAACGCCCGAGCGGCUAUGUGCAGGGCUGGGGCCUGGCUGCUGAGCGGGAAGGCCUGGACUCUCGUCUGGACCUGGCUGCUUCACAUGAGCUUGGGUCAGUCCUCUGAUCAGCUGGCACCGUGGAAGAGGGAGAUGGAGCAAAGCUCGAGAUGGUGUGGAUGAAUAGAUGAGUUCUUGACCACUGGUCUGGCUGGCCCCAGCCGAGGCAUUCCCAAGGUCCCCAGGCCCAGACUUGAUUCUGCACACCAUGGCUUUUUUGCUUCCUGAGCAAGACCGGGUUGACCUUGAACUCACUAUGAAGACCAAGCUGACUUUGAACUUGUGGAACUCUUCUAGCCUCAGCUUCCCAAGGGCUGAGAUAACAGCAGUGGAAGCAUCACACCUGGCUUUUGGCCAUUCAGUGGAUCAGAAUGUGCACAGUGAGAGACUGGCUUCUAUCAAGUUCCCCAGAUUACAAAUGGAGAAACUGAGAUUUACCAUAAGUAAUUUGGAUUGUUUAUAUGCGGACAGCUUUGCAAACAGCUACUGUUUACCAAAAGCUUUCAAAUAUCUGACCUCACGUGAUGCUUCCUCAAUAACCAGCAGAUCCAGCUACAGCUGAUAUUAGCAGAGGAAGACAUGUUUUCGAUGUUCCCUCCAUAAGAAGCAUAUACUGUUCCUGGCUGGGUCAGCACAUACCCAUUCUCCCAAGGCAGAAGGGUUCCCCUGGGCAGGAGGUUUGUCACAGGUUUGAGAUCAGCCUGUGCUACACAGUGACUUCAAGGCAGCCUGUGCUACAGAGUGGGACUCUGUCCCUGUACAACCAAUCAAUUAUGGGGGAUGCAGCUAAGUUGGCAGAGUGCCUGCGUGGCCCAAACAAGCCCUCCAGGUUUUGUUCCCAGUAUUGCAUGAAGUGGCCUAGUAGCACAGCUCUGGAAACCCAGUGGGAGGAUCAGAAGUUCAAGGUCAUACUGAUUACAUAGAGAUAGAGGGCUGCCCUCUAGAUAAACAAAACAAAAUAAACCAAGCACACACACAAACACACACACACACACACCAUCCUGGAACAUGUACACAUGCAUGCAUAGACACCUUAGACAUUUUUGCUGUUCAGUGCACUAAGACUUGGUCCUGAUUCUUGACUUUUGGGAGUCAUUUCCUGUUCUCAGUAUCACUGUCUUCUGAAGAAUCCUGUAAAAUAACAAAAGUACAGUAUGUUUGGAAUGAGCCCAUUCGAUGGAAGGUAGGCUGCUGGAUUGAACUUGUGGAGUCGGUUUGCUUGUUUUCUGUCCACACAACAUGAGCAAUACUGGCUCACAGAAUUCUGUUGCCCAAGUCAGCAAUGACAGCAGAACUCACAAGGGGCUUUCAAGGUUUGAAGCACAAGGAAGGCUUUCACUUUUACUAUUCCACCAACCCCAGCCACCAGCUGGAGUCCUGUCCAUGGUCAUGAUGCAUGUCAGGAAACAAAGUUCCAGAGACUAAGUAGGGUUGGUAAAUGGACAGGUCGGGAUCAGAACCAGAGUCAAUUUUGUUCGAGAUGAAUCCAGAUUUGGUCUACGCUUUUGUCAUGACACAUUGCCCCCUCCAGUAGGCAUGAAACACUGAACAAAUGUCAGUAUAAAAUUGUCAAUGUAUCACUCUA